UACGUAAGUAAGUGCCAUUUUAGCAAAAGAAAGUGGUAGAAGUCCUGCCCAAUGCGUGCUGGCUCCAUCGGCAGCGGUACGCGCAUGUACCAGCGUAGGAAAGUGGUGUGAUGAACAACACAGCACAAGACAGCGGAUAUAAUGCAGAAACGAUAUGGGCAUGCUGUAGGUGUUUGCGACUGUGCGUUGCGUUAUGAUUCGCCAAUUUUCCUCUAUCCUGGAACGUGGGCUUACGAGGAACCGUUCUAAAAGAUCCCCCGGCAGCUGUACGGCAACGAGGCGAGCUCUACCAGCACAACACGCUAGAGGCCCAACUGUCACCGGGUGCACCGAUUGUGCCGCCGGACGGUGUCGAGCGCGCUCGUUCAUUAUCGUCAGAUCAUUAUCCUCUGCCUCAUAAUAGCUGCAGCAGCAACAGGACCGAACCGCCCGCACUACUGGUUGCGGUCAAAUUUUCUGGCAGGUGAAAAAAUCCCACAAGUCGACGGCCGCUCGCUGAAGGCACCAACAACUUACUUACUUAUCCGGCGCUACAACCGCUUUGUGGUCUUGGCCUGCCUCAGGAGUGUCCGAAACCACAGUCUCGCGCCUUCGUCUGCCAGUCCGUUAUCCCGGCCUUAGUGGCGGACCCCUCCAUGCCAUCUUGCCACCUCAGUUUGGGCCUACUACGCCUCCUCUGUUCUUGUGGACGGCCUAAAAAGACUUCACCAACAUGCCACUGAAUAACCCCGGAAAGGCAGAACUUCCGCACAUCUACACGAAAUCGCGUUAAUAGUGUUAUUGUGUUAAUUGGAAAUACGAUGUUAACGAUGUUAAGAUUAAACUUAAGUGCGCUUUAAGGCAUAAAUCGAUAUGCCUAAUUUUAAACUGAGUGUUUUGAAAUGCGCGUGUGUGUGAAGGGGCGAAAUAAGCGUUAAGCAAAAUAAGCGGCCGCGUGGGGCCCCAAAAAUGGAACCCACCCCCCGCUCGCAAGUAAAAUUGCAACUCAAGGUG